GACAUGAGAUGCAGCAUCCAUCCUUGUAACAAGUUCACGGAAGCUGUCCCUGGAAGUAGUGGACAUUGAUUCUAUGUUGCCAUGGGAAAGAGACAAGGAAAGCUGCUGAGCAGGUGUGUGAUGAGCAGGAAGCCUUAAGACUAUGACAUCUUGGAAAUACCCAGUAUUAUGAAAUGAAUCCCUGUCAACUUAAAGAUUCAAGUAUAUUGCCAAUGGAAGGAAAAAUGCAUAGAGGCCAUAAGUCAGAAGAAGUGAAAAAUGUCUCAUGCCACAAAGCCUGUUUCUCUC